GGGCAAACCGAAGAGUUUACUCUUCGGGGUUGUAGGACUGCAAUGUGGACUCAAAGAUUAUAGAAGAAUGAUUUGGGAAGAUCAGCCAAAGAGAGUAAUAGCCUCGUAUUUAAAAUAGUCUUUGUACUUAGCAGUAUCCUGAGUACGGCGGGACACGUGAAAUCCCGUCGGAAUCUGGGAGGACCAUCUCCCAACCCUAAAUACUCCCUAGUGACCGAUAGUGAACCAGUACCGUGAGGGAAAGGUGAAAAGCACCCCGGGAGGGGAGUGAAAUAGAACCUGAAACCGUGUGCCUACAACAAGUUCGAGCCCGUUAAUGGGUGAGAGCGUGCCUUUUGUAGAAUGAACCGGCGAGUUACGUUAUGAUGCGAGGUUAAGUUGAAGAGACGGAGCCGUAGGGAAACCGAGUCUGAAUAGGGCGCCUUAGUAUCAUGACGUAGACCCGAAACCAUGUGACCUACCCAUGAGCAGGUUGAAGGUGCGGUAAGACGCACUGGAGGACCGAACCAGGGCACGUUGAAAAGUGCUUGGAUGACUUGUGGGUAGCGGAGAAAUUCCAAACGAACUUGGAGAUAGCUGGUUCUCUCCGAAAUAGCUUUAGGGCUAGCGUCGACAUUAGAGAUUCUUGGAGGUAGAGCACUGUUUGGGUGAGGGGUCCAUCCCGGAUUACCAAUCUCAGAUAAACUCCGAAUGCCAAUGAAUUAUGGUCGGCAGUCAGACUGCGAGUGCUAAGAUCCGUAGUCGAAAGGGAAACAGCCCAGACCACCAGCUAAGGUCCCAAAAUAAUUGUUAAGUGGAAAAGGAUGUGGGGUUGCACAGACAACUAGGAUGUUAGCUUAGAAGCAGCUAUUCAUUCAAAGAGUGCGUAAUAGCUCACUAGUCGAGUGACCCUGCGCCGAAAAUGUACCGGGGCUAAAACAAUUUACCGAAGCUGUGGAUACCUUUAUAGGUAUGGUAGGAGAGCGUUCUAUGUGUGAUGAAGGUAUACCGUGAGGAGUGCUGGAACGCAUAGAAGUGAGAAUGCCGGUAUGAGUAGCGAAAGACAGGUGAGAAUCCUGUCCACCGUAAGACUAAGGUUUCCAGGGGAAGGCUCGUCCGCCCUGGGUUAGUCGGGACCUAAGGAGAGACCGAAAGGUGUAUCCGAUGGACAACAGGUUGAUAUUCCUGUACUAGAGUAUGUAGUGAUGGAGGGACGCAGUAGGCUAACUAAAGCAGACGAUUGGAAGAGUCUGUCUAAGCAGUGAGGUGUGAAUUGAGUCAAAUGCUUAAUUCUAUAACAUUGAGCUGUGAUGGGGAGCGAAGUUUAGUAGCGAAGUUAGUGACGUCACACUGCCAAGAAAAGCUUCUAGCGUUUAAACAUACUCUACCCGUACCGCAAACCGACACAGGUAGUCGAGGCGAGUAGCCUCAGGUGAGCGAGAGAACUCUCGUUAAGGAACUCGGCAAAAUGACCCCGUAACUUCGGGAGAAGGGGUGCUGACUUAAAGUCAGCCGCAGUGAAUAGGCCCAAGCAACUGUUUAUCAAAAACACAGCUCUCUGCUAAAUCGUAAGAUGAUGUAUAGGGGGUGACGCCUGCCCGGUGCUGGAAGGUUAAGAGGAGUGCUUAGCGUAAGCGAAGGUAUGAAUUGAAGCCCCAGUAAACGGCGGCCGUAACUAUAACGGUCCUAAGGUAGCGAAAUUCCUUGUCGGGUAAGUUCCGACCCGCACGAAAGGCGUAAUGAUUUGGGCACUGUCUCAACGAGAGACUCGGUGAAAUUUUAGUACCUGUGAAGAUGCAGGUUACCCGCGACAGGACGGAAAGACCCCAUGGAGCUUUACUGCAGUUUGAUAUUGAGUGUCUGUACCACAUGUACAGGAUAGGUAGGAGUCUAAGAGAUCGGGACGCCAGUUUCGAAGGAGACGCUGUUGGGAUACUACCCUUGUGUUAUGGCCACUCUAACCCAGAUAGGUGAUCCCUAUCGGAGACAGUGUCUGACGGGCAGUUUGACUGGGGCGGUCGCCUCCUAAAAGGUAACGGAGGCGCCCAAAGGUUCCCUCAGAAUGGUUGGAAAUCAUUCGCAGAGUGUAAAGGUAUAAGGGAGCUUGACUGCGAGAGCUACAACUCGAGCAGGGACGAAAGUCGGGCUUAGUGAUCCGGUGGUUCCGUAUGGAAGGGCCAUCGCUCAACGGAUAAAAGCUACCCUGGGGAUAACAGGCUUAUCUCCCCCAAGAGUUCACAUCGACGGGGAGGUUUGGCACCUCGAUGUCGGCUCGUCGCAUCCUGGGGCUGUAGUCGGUCCCAAGGGUUGGGCUGUUCGCCCAUUAAAGCGGCACGCGAGCUGGGUUCAGAACGUCGUGAGACAGUUCGGUCCCUAUCCGUCGCGGGCGUAGGAAAUUUGAGAGGAUCUGCUCCUAGUACGAGAGGACCAGAGUGGACUUACCGCUGGUGUACCAGUUGUCUUGCCAAAGGCAUCGCUGGGUAGCUAUGUAGGGAAGGGAUAAACGCUGAAAGCAUCUAAGUGUGAAACCCACCUCAAGAUGAGAUUUCCCAUGAUUAUAUAUCAGUAAGAGCCCUGAGAGAUGAUCAGGUAGAUAGGUUAGAAGUGGAAGUGUGGCGACACAUGUAGCGGACUAAUACUAAUAGCUCGAGGACUUAUCCAA
rnacentral:rRNA from 1 species